UACGGAGGGUGCAAGCGUUAUCCGGAUUCACUGGGUUUAAAGGGUGCGUAGGUGGGUUGGUAAGUCAGUGGUGAAAUCUCCGGGCUUAACCUGGAAACUGCCAUUGAUACUAUCAAUCUUGAAUACCUUGGAGGUGAGCGGAAUAUGUCAUGUAGCGGUGAAAUGCUUAGAUAUGACGUAGAACACCAAUUGCGAAGGCAGCUCACUACACGGUCAUUGACACUGAGGCACGAAAGCGUGGGGAUCAAACAGG
rnacentral:rRNA from 1 species